AGUGAACGCUGGCGGUAGGCCUAACACAUGCAAGUCGAACGGCAGCACAGUAAGAGCUUGCUCUUACGGGUGGCGAGUGGCGGACGGGUGAGGAAUACAUCGGAAUCUACUUUUUCGUGGGGGAUAACGUAGGGAAACUUACGCUAAUACCGCAUACGACCUACGGGUGAAAGCAGGGGAUCUUCGGACCUUGCGCGAUUGAAUGAGCCGAUGUCGGAUUAGCUAGUUGGCUGGGUAAAGGCCCACCAAGGCGACGAUCCGUAGCUGAUCUGAGAGGAUGAUCAGCCACACUGGAACUGAGACACGGUCCAGACUCCUACGGGAGGCAGCAGUGGGGAAUAUUGGACAAUGGGCGCAAGCCUGACCCAGCCAUACCGCGUGGGUGGAGAAGGUCUUCGGGUUGUAAAGCCCUGUUGUUGGGAAAGAAAAGCAGUAGGUUAAUACGCCGCUGUUCUGACGGUACCCAAAGAAUAAGCCCCGGCUAACUUCGUG
rnacentral:rRNA from 1 species